rnacentral:rRNA from 1 species
AGUGAACGCUGGCGGCGUGCUUAACACAUGCAAGUCGAACGAGAACGGAUUAUAGCUUGCUAUAAUUGUCAGCUAAGUGGCGCACGGGUGAGUAAUGUAUAGGUAAUAUGCCUCUUACUAAGGGAUAACAAAUGGAAACGUUUGCUAAUACCUUAUACUCCUUAUUAACAUAAGUUAAUAAGGGAAAGAUUUAUUGGUAAGAGAUUAGCCUGUAUUGUAUCAGUUAGUUGGUGGGGUAAUGGCUUACCAAGACUAUGACACAUAACUGGUUUGAGAGGAUGAUCAGUCACACUGGAACUGAGACACGGUCCAGACUCCUACGGGAGGCAGCAGUGGGGAAUAUUGCACAAUGGACGAAGGUCUGAUGCAGCAACGCCGCGUGGAGGAUGACACAUUUCGGUGCGUAAACUCCUUUUAUAUGAGAAGAUAAUGACGGUAUUAUAUGAAUAAGCACCGGCUAACUCCGUGCCAGCCGCCGCGGAAA